AUCAGGGACUGAUAUAACGCUGCAGCCAAUGACUGGAUCACAAGGAAUGACUCCAACCUGGCCUGACUUUGUCAGUGUUUCAAACUUGUAAUCACCAAACUGAGGACACAUCUCGGUCAUUUGCUGGUGAUCCCUGACAUCUGGGGUUUGUGCCUUACCAUCAAACUAGUGCAGAAGACCUAAGAGAUAUUCACCAUAUUAGCCAUCCUGUCACUCAUCCUUAUAUCCUGUAUAAGGAUUAUGCAAAAAGUACCAAACUGAUUUGCACCAAACAAGGUGAAGGAAUUGGACAUGAGCUGGGGAAGAAACCUUCAAAGUUUGGAAGAAAUUCUGUAUUAAUCUUGAUGUAAUAAAUUUAUGGUGAGAUCUAGGAAUUUGUACAAUUUGGUGCAAGUAAGGGAUAAUAGUCGGGCUCCUGUAGAAUAAAAAUGUUUGGCCUUG